UACGUAGGUGGCAAGCGUUGUCCGGAUUUACUGGGCGUAAAGAGCGCGCAGGCGGCUGGGCAAGUCCGAUGUGAAAGCUCCCGGCUUAACUGGGAAAUUGCAUCGGAAACUGCUCGGCUUGAAGGUGGGAGAGGGUAGCGGAAUUCCCGGUGUAGUGGUGAAAUGCGUAGAUAUCGGGAGGAACACCAGUGGCGAAGGGCGGCUACCCUGGCCCAUUC
rnacentral:rRNA from 1 species